rnacentral:lncRNA from 1 species
AAUAGGUGGGAGAACCCAUUUGAAUUAUAAUCCCCUUAGCAUUUCUUUAUUUUUCCAAUGUGGGACAAUUGGUUCAUAACAAUCGCCUCCGCUUGAGAACCAACGACCUCGUUGGUCACGGCUGACACCCCUCUUUGGUCCAGGCUACCACUCCCGGCGCACAGGCCACCACUCUGAGUCGUGGCUCCACGCAUGGAUCGAUCCUCAUUGGUCACGGCUGGCACCCCUCUUGGGUCCAGGCCACCACUACUGGCACAUAGGUCACCACUACGAGUCACGGCCCAACGCGCAGCUUCCCGCACGUGGAUCGAUCCUCGUUGGUCAUGGCUACGCCCAGUUGAUCACGGCUGGCACCUCUCUUGGGUCCAGGCCACCACUCCUAGCGCGCAGGCCACCACUUCAAGUCACGGCCCAACACGUGAGACUCUCAAUGAGGGCACUAAUAUUAUAAACCAAACGGGAGAGCCCAACCCAAAAGACUAGUCUAAUAGGUGGGAGAACCCAUUUGACUUAUAAUCCCCUUAACAUUUCUUUAUUUUUCUAAUGUGGAGCAAUUGAUUCAUAACAGUCUUUAGGUUCAGGCCAACUUUUGAUACAUCAGUUUCUUCUUUUCAAUUACUUUUCUAUUCUUACUUUAACAUUAU